rnacentral:lncRNA from 1 species
GGACUUUGAGGCCCCAUCGCUCCCCGAGGAGCCGUAGGUAAAGUCAGUGGCUGCUGUGAGGGAGGAGUAAUUUUCUCCAGUGGUGUAUUUGCUGGUUAGUUGCCGGUGCUCCUAUAAAUAAGACUCCCUCCCAUGCUCAUUCAAGCAACUCUAAUUAAACCCAGUGGGUCACAGAUAGAAAAGACAUGAAAGUGGAAGAGGAACUAGUUGGGAAGAAGGGCAAAGGAGGGUGAUGGGGGGUCCAUGAUGAAGCUGGGAAUAGUGGCCCACACCUGUCAUCCUGGGUGCUUGGAGGGUGGAGGCAUUCUAGGCUAGUCUCAGCAACAUAGUAAGUGUGAGGCCUGCCUAGGUUACAUCAAACCCUGUCUCACAGACGUAGGCAGAAGAUUUUAUUAGAGUGUGUGUUUGCUUUUUUAUUAAUGUUAUUAUUCAUUUUACAAAUGAUGGACAUCAUAUGACAUUUUCAUACAUGUACUUUAGCCUACUUUGUUCACAUUCACCUGUUAGCAAAUCUUGUCCUCCCUUUCCCUCUUACUGUUCCCCUUCCUCUUCCCAAAUAAUAGUCCUCCCCUCCCCUUUUAUGUCAUGUAUACAUAUAUUUAAAUCUAGAUUUUGCAUUUUUGUGCCUUCCUUUAUUAAUAAUAAUGAUGAUCCCCAACGUAACCAUUUUCAUUCAAACGAUAUGAUUUUCUUCUUGUUUAUGGCUGAAUAGAACUUGAGAUGUGAUGUUUUCCAAGCUUCAAGCUGUCUUUGACCUUUGGUUCAUGUUACAGUAAAUUCAAGGUGAAUUGCAGUAAGUUAACAGUAACACUUUACAUUGCCCGAACUUAGUGACUUUUUUUGGGUGGUAAUUCGAUGGAAAUUAUUGAAUUAUUCAGUGGAAUAAUUUCUUUCAGUGGAAAUUAGUGUUAUUUUUCAGUGAGCACUUUCAAUGUAAUUACUUUAUUUCGGGGGUUCCAGGAAUGUGGUUUCCUGUCAUUUGGCCAGUGACUUUCAAAAGUGAUAAUAGCAAUGACUUGAGAUCUAGCCACAGUGCAAAGGGCUUAUUAUUUUUUUCUAUUUCUCUAGAUUUUUAAAUAUUGGUUUUUAUCUUCAUGCUGUUCUAUUAAUCAUAGUAAGUAGCUUUCCAGUUCCUGGAAGCAUAUUGGUUUGUCCCACACUUAUUUUUUCAGUCUUGAUUGCAUGUUGGGCACUGGGUUAUAAUGAUCCCCCAAAAUAGGCUAAGCAGCCAGAUACCUUGUCUUUCUUGUGUUUCGAGACAGGGUUUCUCUGUGUAGCCCUGGCUGUUCUGUAACUCCCUCAGUAGACCAGGCUGGCCUCGAACUCAGAAAUCCACCUGCCUGCUGCCUCCCGAGUGCUGGAUUAAAGGUGUUUCUCCACCACCCAACUAAAAUAUCUUUAAACACUACAAAAAUUUCAAGUUUUCUGCUUUUGAGUUUCUCUCAGUUUAGUGGGGGUUGCAAAGGGGAAGUAGAGAUAAUGGUAAGGUAUGGUAAUUAUUAUACAAGAUAGUUACAGUAAAGAUAUGGCUGAAAUAUCACAGGACAACCAGGCAAGCAGUGUCUGAGAUGCCUGUGUCAUGGUCUAAAGAUGUUUCCUUUCUUCCUGAAUAGUUUGCAUUAAUGUUAACUGUCUUUCCUUACAGCUCAGUGCUGAAAGACCUGAAUACAUUCUUUGUUUUCUUGUUUCUUUAUUUGCCAAGGUCUCAGUAUGCAGCCCGAGCUUCCCUGAAACUCACUCUGUAGAGCAGUCUGGCCUCGAACUCAGAGCUUUACCUGUCUGUGCUUCCCAAGGAUCAGGAUUAAAGGCGUGAGCCACCAUGCCCUGCUAUAGAUUCCCAUUGUAGGUUUUACAUAUGAAUAUGAAAUGGCUCUGCAGGUAAAAUGCCUACUAUGUAGGCCUGAUGACCCAUGUUCAUACCUCAGAAUCCGUGUAAAGGUUAAAAAAAGAGAAUUGACUCUUACAAAUUGUCCUCUGACCUCCACAUGUGAGCUGUGGCAUAAUAAUUUAUAAUUAAUAUGUUUUAUUACAUAAUUUAUAAUUCUUCUAAACAAUUCAUUCCUUUUUAUUGUAUGUGUGAAUUCCUGCAUGUGUACAUAUGGACCAUGUGCACGCCUGGUACCUUAGGAGGUGAGAAGAGGGAAUUGGAUCUCUUGGAAUUGGAGUUACAGGCAGUUGUGAGAUACCAUAUGGGUGCUGGGAAUGGAACCAAGUACUCUGAAGAGCACUGAGGGAUCCUAACUGCUGAGCCAUCUCUACAGACCUAUAAUAACAAGUUUAUUAAUAUCUAUCUAUCUAUCUAUCUAUCUAUCUAUCUAUCUAUCUAUCUAUCAUUUUUAUGUGUAUGGGUGUUUUGCUUGUCCUGUAUCAAGUGUGUGCCUGCUGGCCAAAGAAUCCACAAGAGGGCAUCAGAGCCCCUGGAACUGGAGUUACAGACAUUUGUGAGUCUCCACAUAGGUUCUGGGAAUCACACUUGGGUCAUCUGGAAGAGCAGCCAGUGCUCUUAACUGCUGAGUCAAAAAAUAAAAAAAUAAAAAUAAAAAAAGGAGUAUAAUUUUAGGGACGAAGGGGGCAGCGCAGUGUUGGAGUGCCUGCUGUGUAUACAUAAGCCCUGGUUGUUGUUGUUACUAUUUAUUGUUUUGCAUUUUUGAGACAAGGUCUCAUUAUAUAGUCUAGGAUAGCCCAGAACUUAGUAUGUAGAUCAAGCCCUGAAAUGUGCUUGCCUCUGACUCUUAGGUCCUCAGAUCAAAAGCCUGUACUAUGAGGCUAGAGAGAUGGCUCAGUGGUUAGGAGCACUGACUGCCCUUCCAGAGGUCCUGAGUUCAAAUCCCAGCAACCACAUGGUGGCUCACAACCAUCUGCAAUGGGGUUGAUGCCCUUUUCUGGUGUGUCUGAAGAAAGCAAUGGUGUACUCAUAUACAUAAAAUAAAAAUAAAUCUUCAAAAAAUUCUAUCCUAUC